AGGCCAGACGCGCGGCGUUCGUGUACUGUUCACACGGCAAAGCUCCGCCACAGUGCCUUGCUCGCAUAUCUCGCGAUCGCUACGACCGCUGGCCAACGCGUAUUUGGCGUGCCUGUGUCAUUCUCAAACUCAGCGACACAUCAAACGUCAGGUGCCAACUGCUUUUCGGAAGACAUCAUGGCUGACGGUACCGGAACUGGACUGACGACGGGAGAUGACACAGUGGUUGGAGGACCAAAGACGCCACAGCAAAUAGCUGCACAGAAACGGUUGCAACAAACACAAGCACAAGUAGACGAAGUGGUAGAUAUUAUGAAGACAAACGUAAUGAAAGUUUUGGACAGGGAUCAAAAACUAUCUGAACUCGAUGAUAGAGCAGAUGCUUUACAGCAAGGAGCAUCGCAAUUUGAACAACAGGCUGGAAAGCUAAAGAGGAAAUUUUGGUUGCAGAAUUUAAAGAUGAUGAUCAUAAUGGGUGUAAUUGUAAUUAUAAUAUUAGCCAUUCUAGUUGGUAAGUUCCAAUAAAUACCAUUUCUACAUUUUGGUGGCUUAUAACUGUAUGACGAUACCGGAAAACGUUACAUACAUACAAACUGUUUUUUUUUUUUAACGCAUUAAUAAUUUUUAUAGAUUAUUUAAACAUUCAAGUCUCGGAUUUUAAUUACUAUUUAAAUAUAGAGACACAUUUACCUAAACAAUUGUUUUUAUUAGCUUAUUCAACAUUUUUAUUUUUACUUAAAACUCCAUUUUGGUUUUAACUUAAAAUUACUAAUUAAUGUCCAAUGUAUAAUCAGUUUUCAUUAGUACCGAGUUAAAUACCAAAAAAAAUUAAUUGAUGUGUUCAGCUUAAAAAUAAUUAUUGUUAUUUACUUAGUUAAUUUAGACCAUGCGUUGUACUAUAUUAUUUAAGAUAUAAUUAUAAUAUCAAUUAUUUCCUAAUUAUAAAACGUUUAUAAAUAUGUUAAAAAUAUUACAAUAUUAUCCAUUAUUAGACUUAAACUUAUAUAGGUAAUUUUAAGGAAAAAAUAAAAUUAAAACCAAAUUUUAUUGUGAGAAUGUUUUAAUUUAUUUUUAAACAAAUAAUAUUAUAUCAUCAUAAUUGACUAAAAAGUUUUACAAAAUGUCAAUUACCUUUAUUUUUUAGAAAUUAUCCUAAUUAAAUUAUGAUAAAUUCGUUUGAUAUAAAUUUUAUAUUGUACAAAUUUUUCCUUUUUCCAUCGUAUUACUACCUAUGUAUAAUUACUAUAAUGCUCAUUAUAAAAAUUAUUAUCAAUUCAUAAUAUAACUUAGCCUUCAAAAAAUGUUUCAAAACUAGAAGAAACAACAAUUAAGAUAAAUUCAUUAUAUUUCAAUAGGGAUGCCUGAUGAGAUUAGUAGUCUUUCUUUUUACUGACUUAUAUGUAAAAAUUUGUAAUGACUCUAUGUAUAGAGUAAUAUCAUUUUUUGUGAAAUAGUAUAAAGGGAAUUACCGGAAUUAGAGAGUAUAAAACUUACUGAUUAGCUAAAAUAAAUAAUGGCCUCUCUUAAAAUAUUUGUCAACAGGCGGUUUCUCUCUAAUUUAUAAGUUAUUUUAAAAUUAUUAUUUAUAAUAUUUUACCUAAACUAAAAUAUAAAUUAAGGCAAAAAAUCGUUUUAAACCAAAUGGAGAAGAUUAAUAAAAUUACAGCAUAUAUUUAAACAUGUGUAACUUAUAUUAAAUAUAAUGAAAGAAACAUUACUUUAAAAAGUCAACAAAAAAAAUCUCAAAAAGUAUUACUAAUACUUUAUCACGACAUAUACACACUAACUGAAAAAGUUGCUUUAUUUUGUGCGUUUUACGUUUUUGUGUGCUGUUUGUUAUAUUUAUUUCAACAAAAUACAUCAUGUGUGGUUAGCUAAACAAUCCGUAUGUGUCACAAAUUAUUAUUGGCUCUUAAUACUUGAACGCAAAAAUCUUGUUUGAGACUUGAAAAACUCUGCGGGUUACACUUAGCUUGGUUUUCGGACGACUAAAACGUAUAAAAAUCUCCAAUGCUUUUAACACACCAUCACCAACGACCAUCAAAUAUAUCGACUUAAAAUGAUAAAGUGAAACUAAAGGUGCAUUGAAGUACAUACGCAUACAUGUAUAAUUUAUAAAAUGUUAUGUAUUCAUAAUAAUGCUUUUGGAAAACUGCCCCUACCCAAACAUAUUAUCAUGCUUGUUACUUACCGAUUAAAUGUUAUUACCAUUAGGUGUUAACUUUCGUUUAUUGACUGGAUAAUUUUUUAUUAAAAUAAUUACCAAACAAUAAAAAAAAAAAAAACGAAAAUUACUUUGUAAAUAGUAUAAUACACAUUUUAUCAUCGUUUAAAAUUUACAUUUUUUUUUUUUUAUAAAAUAUUCACAUUUCACUACUGUGAUUAAAUCAUAGUAAAAAUUUUGUAACAGAGUUAAUACACCAUCAUUUAUACAUGUUCCAAAAUUGUUAUAUAAAUAAAUAUACAAACAAAUAUUUAAUUAAUUUCGGUAGAAAAUUUUUGACUUUACACGCUAAAAUAUUUUAAAUAUUAUAUUAUCGAAUAUAACGACUUAAUUAUUGUUAUUUUUAAGAAAUAUCGUUUAUAUCUAACAAUAUUUGUAUCAGCUUAUUAAUUUUUCGACUGUUAAACAUUUCACAAUUCAGAUAAAAGGAAAACUACUUACCUACGCAAAUUUAGAUAAUUGAAACGGAGUUAUAAAUAUCAAUUGUAUAUGUUUUUCCUGAACUUAUCUAAAUUAACGAUUAAGUAACUGUGAAAUAAAACACAAAUUAAAUGCUGGAAAAUGUAUUAGGUAGUUUUACCUCUUUGUAACAGCGUUUCAGAAAAACAUUUCAAGUAAUUGUUUAUUAUUAGUGAAUGUAUUAUUAUUAUUACAAUUAUUUAUAUUACUACGUUAUGUAAGACUUAAAUGCAAAUUUUCUGACCAUAAUUUUUAACUAGUGUAUUGGAGUAUAUACUUAUCGUGAUCUAGUAAUGCACAAAUUGCAUCGUACUACGUUUAUUCAUUUGUAUACAUAUUCGUGUAACUGUAAUUGUCAGCUACUGGCCGUUUUCAGUUUAUCAAUUAUAAUAUUAUAUUUUAAAGUUUAUGUAAUUUAAAGGAAUAAUAUCCUUAGACGUUUGGAGUAUAAAUAAAUAUUACUAAUGUUGAUUUUUUUUAA